CCUGUUCGUUUGGAGGUCGCUAGCGUCAGCGACCAACUUCAGCGACUAAACGUUGUUCGUUUACCAGUCGCGGACUCAGCGACUGAUCGCAGCGACCAGACGCUAGCGACCCGCGAUUAAAAAUUUUGAUCGCCGAAAAAUUCAGCGUUUUCGACCAAAAAUCUGCGAUCAAAAAAAAAAAUUUCAAAAUACAAAAACACCCUCAAUCUAUCUUCAAAAUUACAAAACAAUACCCUCAACCUAAAACUUUCUCAAGCCUCAGCUCUCUCUCUCUCUCUCUCUCUCUCUCUCUUCGCCAUCUCUCAAGUCUCUCUUCUCUCACGCCUCAGCUCUCUCUCUCUCUCUCUCCACCAUCUCUCACGCCUCAGCUCUCUCUCUCUCUCUCUCUCCACCAUCUCUCACGCCUCUCUUCAGCAUCUCUCACGCCUCAGCUCUCUCUCUCUCUCUCUCCCUUCACCAUCUCUCACGCCUCUCUUCACGAUCUCUCUCACACCUCUCUUCACCAUCUCUCACGAUCUCUCUUCUCCAUCUCUCACACCUCUCUUCACCAUCUCUCACGCCUCAGCUCUCUCAAAGGCCAGUUCUCUCUCUCUCUCUCUCUCCACCAUCUCUCUCCAUCUCUCUUAGCGUUUUGUGUUAGUAAUACAUGGGUACCAGACCUUGCAACUCUGUGUGUGUUCUACUUGGUUCUCCGAGCUCUUGAUACUAUCUUUUCAGAUUUGGACAUAAAUCACAACUAGACAGAAAGAAUGGCUAAUGAUAUGGUUAGGUGGUACUUGGAUCAGGACGAAUAUGAGGACGAUCUGCUUAAGCUAGAGAGAUAACUUCAAAAAAUAGAUCGAGGCGCUGGAUGGCAUCAUGUUCAGCAGCUUAUGCAGCUUACUAGUUUAUUUGAUUUGAGUUUGUACUGAUUUUUAUUAUUAGUUACUCGUAUGACCACUUUUCCUAUUGUUUAAAUCGAAAUCUUUGUAACAAUUGUGAGAGAGUUUAUGAUUUAGACCAAAAUGAUGGGAUUUUCUUAAUAAGGAAGCUCUUAUAAAAAGCUACAGUUUUUUUC